AGAUGAGUAAAGCCACUCCAUAAACA
rnacentral:tRNA from 1 species